CUUUGGCCGGGAUCCCUGGGGAGUCCUUGGCUCUUGGCCAGGAGGAGCAGAGUCAGAGGGAAUGACAAUGGAAAACCGUGAGGUGGAGGGGCUGUGGGGAUGGAGGGGUGAAAGGGGACAGUGGGCAGUGACCCCUAUCUCCCAUCUCCCCUCUUGUCUUUCUGAGCGCAGAACCAUCAACCACCGCAGCAUUGGUGCAGAUUUUCGUUGGUGAGGUUUCUACGUGGCUGAUGGAUACACCCCAUACCAUAUGACUCACACCAGGACUAGAAAUGACUCCCCUUCAACCAUCACAGGUUAGUAGGCUAGUUUGAACAUGUUGUCUGCUAUACACAUACGCAAACGCAUACAUAGAAAAAAAGAUUUGUGUGAUCAUUUUAUUUAUUUCUUCCAUCAGUAAAAACAUCCAAAUCUCAUCUCUUGCAAAAAGAAGUCCUUCACAUAUUCAACUCCCACCAUAAUCAGAUUUAAUUUAAAAAAUCCUCAUUGUCCAGUAAAAAGUUUGUUCAAAAAUGCAGAAAAAACGAUCUCCUCUUCUCCCUUCAUUUUCCAAUUCAUACAAAAGUUGUGUGCCAUUGCUUUCUGACAUGUAACUGUCAGAGUUGAAGAAAAUCCAUGGGUAAUGAUAGUGGAUGCUUUUGUCCAUCUCAUUUAAGUGUCAUUUUUGUCAGACAGAAAUUGCACAUCACUACAUGGGUGAUACUGCAUCAAGUAUCCAAAUCUGCAAUGUGUGAAAACCUUGUUUCUCCGACUUGACUGGAAUAUGCCCUUAAUGAGCCAUUCAAAUAUCCAAAAAUGGUAUGAUUUUUUUUCUUAAAGAAACAAAGAGCACAUUCAUUCCUUAGUUUCAUUGGUUGGUUGUCAUUGCCAUGUUAUUCCUUUUCAAGACUCAUCAAGAUUGUGGAUCAGCCCAUUUGCAGUAGAAUGGCAGAAAAAGGCUUAAUAUUCAAACAAUGUUUGGUUUGAACUGAAUAUCCUUGCCCUGUUAGCAUGGGUUUGGACAAGCUGAACUAGAAUACACAUGAGCCAACAGAUGUUUAGUUAUUUUAUAGUAUACAUAAACCAAAAUAGUAGCAAUGACAGAAGCUAGAAUUUUGACUGACUGCUACAUAGGGCUGAGCGAUAAUUCCAUUAUCUUUCAGUAGCAUGUUCUUAAUCAUAAUUCAUUAUAAUGUGUAGUGUUGUAAUCUCUUGAUUUUGUCAUAAGACUUCCAUCUAGCAACAAAACAAGGUUUGAUAGCGCUUUGAGUGCGAGAAAAGCACUAUAUAAAUUGAAUUUAUUAUUAUUAUUAUAAUAUAUUAAAUUGAAUUGCACUUAUAUAGUGUCAGUACUCAUGUGUAACAUGAGUAACAUGUGCCGUGCUCAUUGUACAUACCGUUAUACCUGCAAUUAAUGGCUGUCCACAGAAUAACGCUGUUUGGAUGCAAAACUGCGUAAAAUUGUACUUGUAAUUACAAUACAUUUCAUCCAAAAAUGUAUGAAUAUUGAUCUGAUAUACCUGAAAUUACAACAUAUUUUCAAUGGUAACGUUUGUAAUGCAAAUUAAAAACAAUUGCACAUAUCUUUUGAAUAUUUUGUUAAGUCUUAAAAGUCCUAGUGUUAAUACCGCCCAGCCGUAGAUCUAGAGCACUUCAUAAGGCAUGGCUGAAAGACAACAGGGGGAAAAGUUGGCUGUGUCAGAUGCCAAAAAUUCACUUAGUAAAGUGGCCCCAAAUGAUAAGCUAAUACAUCUGUAAGAACCAAUACAUCUGUAAGUAACUGAACACUGAAACAGCUUUAAGUACUUCAUCCGAAUAGGAGGGAAUCCUUUUCAGACCAGGAUUCACAAGAACGAUGCCACUUGCAUCAGUGAGAUCCUGCAGUGCUUUAAAACCAUAUGCUAUAACAAGAUGCCCAGGAAGGGAGUUUAUGUAACUGUAGAGAGAUACUGGACUUUUUAACUAUUCAUGACAUAGCUACAGAAAUAUCUGCCUGUCCAUCCCUUAGUUUGGAAAAACAAUGGGAAUGAAGAGUAAGACGUGCAAAGCAUGCUAUGUACUUGAGACUGUUCAAUUCUGUUUGAUUGCUACUGGUUGGCAACAUUGUGGCAGAAACCAACAUAGUACAACAAGAUAAGAUAUAUCAAGAUAUAUCAUCUUGAAUCAUUUACCGUGUUUAAGAGCCUUAGCUUUUGGUUUCAAAUGAGGAAUGAUUGUGUACUGUUAUCACAAAUGCUAAACACAAACUUCUGAAGACAUCCAGCAAAGAAACUAUGAGAAUUAAAUAACAGAAAUUACCCCAUCAGUGGUUGUGCAACCAACCAUGAGUUGGUUUGUCAGUUGGGUUCAUCUUGUUGCAGUUCCUCUGUUGAUUUUCAAAAGACUAUGAGUUCUAACAAACUAUCACAUCGUUCAGGAAGCCUUGCAUGCCGGAGAACAUCUCCUCUCCUUCUAGUUUGAGCUUUUGGAGACCGGCUUGUCCGCGAUUGGUCCCUCCACGUGGAGUCCGUAUUUUCUGAGGUGAUGAUUUGCUGUGAGCCAUCUUCUUUUUUACACGCUUGUAGAUGGUGCAGCAGCCUGGGGCGGGGUGGCGGGGAGGUAAUGGCGUUGCCAGCCAGCGGUGCAGGCCCCUAUGGUGGGUCCUCUCCUUGAGAAUGGACAGCACAGCAACACCUAGAGGUGUGAAGGGAGGAACAGUAGAGGAGUUCAACAGACCAUAAGACAGCCUGUUAAUGUUAGAGAUAUAUGAUGAACGACAGAAAUGGGAUAUAUAUUAUGUGCCAAAGUGUAAGUGAACCCCCUGCUUCAGCUCGAAUACAAACACUGAGGCUGUCAAAAGUGUGUUUUGGGUAAGGGCUCUAGCAAGGAGAGUUAGCUUGUAAUCCCCCUGUGGUUUCGAACUUGGACAACUUUUUAGUACCGUCCUUGUGCAGGAGCUUUAUAAUGCGCAAGGUCGGAUAUGAAACACCGCACACACCAAGUGUCGGAGAAGCUUACCCAUCUCUCGAAAUGAACGGCUGCCUAGACAGAACUCCACACGUACACACACGCAUCUACAGACCACCGCCGGUGCUCGGAGUAGAGUAGGGUGUUCACAAACUGGUGACUAGAGACUCAUUCUUUCUCUAAACUCAUAUUUUCCCUGAAUCACAGUCUUAUUUUAGUAGCAUUGACCAAUUGGCAUAGAUGAGUGUGUUGACAAUCAUAAGAAAUAAAUGACCACAUCUACGUAAACAAAAUUGUUUUGGUUUCACUUGCGCUUUAAUGUUUCAUGUGUUUUCACACAUGCACCAAAAGUCGUACAAUCUCCGGGGUAAUACCCGGCCCGGCUCCCAUUGUAGAGUCUCGGAGAGCCGGAGGAUUCACAACGAGCGAGUGGGCGUGUUGCUGAAGAGCUGAUGUAUUUUGUGUUUCCAACUUAUUUUUGCUUUCCACUCUUUUGCUUUCCAUUGCGGAUAUGUUUAAUUAAAUGCGGUAUCGAUAUUAAAGAGGGUGAUCACAAGGAAUCCGCAUUACGGAGAUGGUAGCCUCACCCGCCAUCUUAGAUAGUUUUUAUUUUGCGAAGCGCCCCCUCCUACUCGCUCUACCCAGGCGCCACCCCUUGCUUUAAGUAUCCAGAGUAUCUCCAGUAUGUGUGAACACGUCUGAUGUGUGUCGCAUGUGUGAAAGGGCGACUCCGGAUCAUGUCCAGGCCUGAUUCUCCAGAGGUGAUCUGGAG
ensembl:lncRNA